GCGGAUGUGGCGGAACUGGUAGACGCGCUGGAUUUAGGUUCCAGUGGGGCGACCCGUGGGGGUUCGAGUCCCUCCAUCCGCACCA
rnacentral:tRNA from 1 species